UGUGUGUGUGUGUGUGUGUGUGUGUGUGUGUGUGUUGUGUGUGUGUGUGUGUGUGUGUGUGUGUGUGUGUGUGUGUGUGUGAGAGAGAGAGAGAGAGAGAGAGAGAGAGAGAGAGAGAGAGAGAGAGAGAGAGAGAGAGAGAGAGAGAGAGAGAGAGAGAGAGAGAGAGAGAUUUAAAUACAGUGUCUGCAGCUCUGGCACCUUCCCCAGCACGUUUCUCUUCCGGCUCGUCUCUGUCUGGUGGAGAAUUUAGCCCGCGUUGAGGAAGCUGCUGUACGUCGGAGCCUCCUGGGAUUGGCAGAGUUAAAAAUCCUUCAACCCAGGAUGCCAUGCCUGGGCCUUUUGUUCAACCCUGACAAUGGAAUUAGGAAUUGGGUGGAGGGGGCUAGGAAGGCAAGUAGCUGCGGUGGGGAUGCAUCCUUAGGGUGGGGAUCUGGAGAAGCCUGUGUUGAGUCACCGGGUGAAUAAAAAGGAUGCAGCCCCGCGUGUGAGCCGUGUGUGCUGCGUGCUGCUGCUGAGGGCUGGACCGCUGGACUACCAGUCUAACCCGUGUGUAAGAGUGCCUGCUGUGUGUGCUUGCAGCAAAUCUCAGGUCUUAGGGAGACCUUCGGAAACAGGACCUCAGUGUUUGUCCCUAAAAGGUUGGGUAAUGGGCUUUCCUUACUUCUGAAAUCCUAGGGGACAAAUCCCUGGUUUCAGACUCUUCUGAAUGUCUUUGUCUUCUGAAAUCCUGGGCUCCCGCGAGAGAGCACUUAGUUAAGGACGUCGAGACGGAUAUCCUACCACCUAUCAAUCAUCCUGAAACUCUUGCUAGGAAUUCCCUGCUCCGUUAUGCGACCUCCUCAGCAGCACUGCGAACAGACCUGGAGGGAUGCUAGCAUUUAUUUUAUCUUCCAUUUAACCCGCCCACGCUCCUGGCCACAGCCUGCCCCUGGGAUGCAGGGAACUCUCUGGCUUCCCUCUCCAGUCCUGAGACAUUCAGCCCAUCUUCACGGUUGGGUUUGGUGUUCCUUCUCCAGUCAGUUCGAGCACCAAUGAGUGUUUCGGUCAAAUCCACUGUGCCCAGAAUGCACCAGACCCUGGGAUUGAGCCAGGCAAACACUUGCCCUUAAGCGCUGUUUGUAAGUGUAUUUGUUGCAAUGGUAGUGAUGGUGCUCAGAGCCUCACACAUGCUAGCAAGGCACUCCACUGGUGGGCUACAGCCCAAGCCCAGGAUUUUAAAAAGUAUGUUUGUGGAUUCGGAUAUAUAUUUAAAUGUGUGGGCGUGCGGUGUACAUGUCUGAGGAGGCCAGGUGUCAAUAUUGGUGUCUUUCUUGAUCACUCUCCACUUGAGAAGGUCCCUGAGAUGAUCAGUGUGGAUUGUCAACUUGACAGGAUUUGGAAUCACCUAGGAGGCCUAGCUCCAGGCACUUGGGAGGGAUUUAUAUUAGGUUAGCCUCUGAACAAACCUGUGAGAGAUUAUCUUGAUUGAGUUCAUUGACAUGGAGGAUUUUGUAGUUCCCUGGGUUUGGGUCCUGGGCUGCAUAUAAUGAAGGAAGCUAGCUAAUACUGAAUAUCCAUUCCUCUCCUUUUGCUGACUGUGGAUGGACGAAAUGUGACCAGCUCCUUCAAGUUCUGGUUGCCCUAGCUCUCCUACCAUGAUGAAACUGGACAUUAAUAUGCUACUUUUGUCAGGUAUUAUGUUACCUGUCAUCACACCCAGAGUCUGCCACCCACUGGGGUUACAGAUGUGCUGUGGCAGUUUCACAUUUGUGCUGGGGAUCCAAAUUCUGGUCCUCACUCUUGCAUGACAGGCACUUUCCCAAGUGAGCCAUCUCCCCUACCACAGUAGUCUCCAUUAAUUGAAAGAGCAGUGUGGACACAAAGUCAAACUGUUUCGUAUGUGGGUGAGGACUAUAAAGAAAUUAAAGCAGGCUGUAUAUAGUGACACAUGCCCAUAAUGCCAGAGCUUGAAGUUUGAAGUAGGAGGCUUGAGAGUUUGAGUACAGCCUGGGCUACACAGUAAAACCCUGGAGAAGGGGACAGAGCAGGGAAGGUGGAAAGGCUAAGGGGAAAGGACUAAUGCACACUGAGGUACAGAGCUGCUUCACGAGAUGCCUCCUCCAUAGGUGUUCUUAGGACCUGAAGACCUGUGGACAAAUGCUCCAAAAGAAGGAACUGACUAGGACACACAUCUGUCUGGAGGCAGAACUUAGCAGAAUAGAGAAAGCAGCCACUCUGAGGGGGGCCUUGCAUGCUUUUAGAUUGUGGGACACUGUCUGAGUGUGGUGGCAGACACCUGUAGUCCCAGCACUUGGUCCGGGUCAGGGGUCCCCGUCCCUGCACACCCCCCCCCCAUACUCCCUCAUUUCUCAAGAGACAAGGCAGUACUCACAGAUAACAAGAACAAGAGGGUGGUAGGCGGUGCCUAGUGACACACAUUCUGAAGAGCAGAAGUUAUUUUAUUUAAAAGUUUUAAAUUUAAUUUUGUGCCACGCAGUGGUAGUAAACACCUUUAAUCCCAGCCCUUGGGAGGGAGAGGCAAGUGAAUCAGUGAGUUUGAGGUCAUCCUGGUCUACAGAGUUCCAGAACAGUCAGGACUACAUAGAGAAACCCUACUUUGGAAAAACAAAAUAAUAGCAACAACAAAAUUAAAUUUUGUUGAUUUAUUUUUUUUUUUGAGGUCAGUCAUGUUAUGUUGUCCAAGGCUAGUAUUAAUUACAGGCAUGAGUUCUAUGACAUUCAGUUUCAGUUUUAAAAAUGAGCUUAUUGUAUUAGGGCCUUCUUAGGUAGUAGACAAUAUAAAGAUUUAUCCCAAUCCCCUGGUUCUGCAAUCCUGGGCUGAGGAGCCACAGGGCUAGAAUUGGGGUCUUGGGACUGCCAGAGAGUGCUAGAGGUAGGGGGCCCUCAUUCCCUGCUUGUCACCUCACCCAGUUCUAGGCAGCAUCCGAGCGCUCUGGGUGCAAUCCUCCUUGCUCCACUGUUUUCGUGCCCACAGACCGGGGACAGGCCUAGAAACUAAGCAUCAGUUUCCUCAACUGUAUUUGAGGCUAGGACCUGUCAGACCACUCAUCAGUCGGAUGACUCAAGGAUGAAGGGUGUGUGUGACUCCCUCCUUGGGUACCAAGCAUCUAAGUAGGCCCUUCAUCCUCAUAGUGCUCAAGUCAGUCAGUCCUGGGGUCUGGGCAGCCCUGGGAUAAGGAGGCUGAAUGUAGAGAUUGACCUUGAACAAUGGAAGGCAGAGUUUGAAUGACCUGCUUUGUUCUCCCAAACACUCACUGAGAUGAGAACUGUCAGACAUACCCCUAUAUCCCCCCCCCCGCCCUCCCCCACACAACCUCUUUUCCUCCCUAACCAGUUACAGCUGCACACUGGUGACAGUUACUUUCCUUAGGCUCCAGAUACCUGUGUAUUUAUCUGCACGUAGGCCAUGACACUCCAGAAAAGCAGAGCUCUGGGUCACACCUUAUAAUCUCAAGCAGAGAAGGGCACCUUCAUGUGCAGCCUUCUACUCCAGGUGAUGGCACAGCACAGAUCACCUUUGGUGAUAAAUACACAUUGGGGGUCCCUAAGUUCUUUGCUUCUGUGUUCAUGUCCUAAACUGGUUCCUGUAAACUAUAGCCGGUGACUCAGACUCUUUUGCAGCUAUGGAUAACAACAGUGUUGCCAAAACAAGCUUCAAGCUCUUUCCUGACCCUUGGACUCUAGGUCCUGGUGGCCCUGCAGUGGGCUGGGGAACUGCAGAAUCAGGAAGCACCUGAGGAAUCCAGGAAGGCAGAGCUUGAGGCCUAGGGGAAAGAAGAAAGGAAGGGAGUGAGGGAGGGAUGAAGGAAGGAAGGAAAGAAGGAAGGAGGAAAGAAAAGAAGGAAGGAAGUCCCUAGGCAAGCUUGAGGCCUGGCAUGCUGCAGGACAGCUGAGUUCUUUUGGUUCCAAAUCUUCACAGCCUUGCCAAGCCCUGUGGGGAAAGAUCAGCUGCAAAGUUCUAUGAAGGCAAGACCAGGUGCUUAGCUGGUCCCAGUCUGAUUUGGAAGCAGUUAGGAGCCAGGGCUGUUUAGGGUUGGCAAUCUGCUCUUUGCUAUGCCUAGGAGACAGCUAGCAUACUCUUGGAAGCCAGUGCCACCCUUGACCCUAGGCUGUGCUGGAGUGAAGGCAGGACACAGGGCAGAGGAGGAACUCAGAGGCAUCGCCCUUCCACGCUCCAGGACAGCCUCACAAAGGGCCUCCUCUGCUGGCUCUGCAAGACAGGCUGUGCUGGCAGAGAGGCCUGAGACUGUCACCCAAGCAGGGAUAGGGCAGCUACAAAUGAAACACAGACAAGCACACAGGCCGGCAUUCGAUCUUACCCAGAGCCAAGAAAUCCUGGCUAAAGCUCGGCUACAGAGUGAGGAAAAGCACCGGGCAAUACUUGAAACCAAGCAAGCCCCCUGGAAAUGUUGGACUCCUGACAGACAAGGAGCCAAGCCAAGGGUUUUUUCCUGCUGGCUGGAACACAAAAGCCGAGGAUGCUGGGGAGAUGGGAGAUUGGCCUGAGAGGGACUCUGGAAGUAGAGGAAAGCUCUCAAAGCCAGAAAAUGUUCGCCCAACGCAGACCCCAGAGCUUGCAUACCACAGGUGUGGAGGAGGGGACACUAUCCUGGCAGAGGCCCCAGUGAGGGGGCUGUGGCAGUGUGGUGUCUCCAACAGUCCAGAGGCCUGGCUGCAAAGCCCAGCUCCCAUCUGAGAUAAUGGGAAGCCUGUGUCUGAGAAGUCUGCACCCUCUCCUCUCUGCACCUAAGAUUCUGGGAAAUGGGCCUUAUUCUCAGUAUCUGGGUUUUCCUGGUUGUUACCGGGGCAGAGCUCCCCAGAAACAGGUGGCCACAGAGUGGCUGAGAAAGAGGAAGCAACAAGACCCAUACAGCCCAAAGAAGCUACUCAUCCAGAAGAGUGGAAACCCUGUCAGAGCCAGCAGGCGCCCUGGGAGACAUGGGCUGUCUCCCAGGUGGGGGGAAUCGACCCACCAUCUUCUUUCUGUGGCUGGAAGCCAGUGCAACCCAUCCCCCCUUGUAAGAAGUUUGAUAUAAAACACAGAUUGUCUGCACACUUCUGAUCACUUUAUUUGUUUCAUUUUGCUGUCUUUGUCUUUUUGUUGUUGUUGUUGUUUCUUCAUUUCUCUUCUGGUUUUGCCACUUAAGAUAGUCAGCAUCUGCCUCCCCAUACCCACGGAGUGACCACCCUUCCAUUUCCCACCUUC
rnacentral:lncRNA from 1 species